GGGAAGAUGACCACAUCCAAGAGGGAGCCUCUCAUGUGGGGCUUUGCCACCAGCCCGGUCAGCCAGCUCCAGCUGAAACUUUAAGAAACAGAUCAGCAUGAACGAGAAGGACGUCAUCAUCCCCACCUGAACCCCAAGCUAUGGUUUCUCCUGGUCAACACAGCAGGUUUAAACAAGUUAGACUUAAACAAGUUAGCACAGUUGGAAAAAGAAUAUAAUGCUCCAGAAGACAGGUACAGUUUGAGACUGUACACUUCUCAUCAGUGAACCACAGACUGGAGCAGAUACAGAAUUGAAGUAUUCAUUUAACUUUACUGUUUGGUGACAUUAAUGCAGAUACAAACAACUUGUCUGGAUUUCAGUGAUGAAUUGAAAGUAAUGAUGCCAGUGAUUUGGGUGCAAUCUUUGGAGAUUCUUUUCUAGAGCAGAGAAAUAUGAACAUGGGAUUUUAAAUUUCCAAAACACGUCCUUACUACACUGAUUGAAUUAAUGGGACAACUGUGUUCCCUGCGUGAUGUUUUUCUAUGGGUUCAGUCUCUGCCUGUGUUUAGAAGCUGCAUCAAGCACUGGAAGAAGAAAGAAGGUGGAGUUAUUUAAUAAAAAACAACAACAGAUAAAAAAACAAACAGUAGUGGCAGAGACAGCAUUAGUAAAGACCGUAGUUAUUCCUUUCAGACUGGUUACAGCAAUGAAGGUGUACAGCAGUGAUGCCUUUAACAAAGCAAGCUGUUCUCAGUUAUUUCCAUUCCAGUGCUGCAAAGGAUUGCAUGGAUGUAGGUUUUCUCUGUUAGCUGAUACCCCCCACUCCUACACACCCUCUCAGCAUGCUAACAUUGCUACAGCUGAGCUUGCAAGGCUGAAGGUGAGAUGUGACUGUGCUCUUGAAUUUGCAGCAUCCCGCAUACAUAGACAGUCCCCUUGUUAGUCCUUUCUAGAGAAUGGGCAUUUGUCCUUUUUCAUCUUGUGUCACUCGUUUCACCUUUGCAUACCACUCUGCAGAGCACUCAUCAUAAGGCUGGAUAUGUGGAGUCACUGCUGGUACUCAGGAGAUGCCAUCAAGGUGCAGAGGCUGUGAGCAAUGACAGGAAAUCUCUGGAGAAACAAGAGGUGCUAUUAGACAGCCACAGUGAUUUGGUGACACACAUCUUUGCCUCCUCUGACAGAACAGUUCUACAUCUCCAUCUCUGUUUGCCACGCUGCGUGCACAUGCACAGUGGGUACAAAGAGCAACCCAGACCUUGAAGCCUGCAACUUUUCUUCCUCUUCUAGUCCCUCCUGAACACUCAUCUCUCACUAAGGCAUGUAUGAAAUGACAGGCAGGUAACAGCUCAGCAGGUGGAAGCCACCCAGGAAUGGCCUACAAGGGGCCUUCUCUGCUGGCGCGCCGCACUCCUCCAGUUCCCUGCUCAACACCCCAGCUGCAUUGCAGAGGCUUUCACAGCUCUGAGCCGAGCCUCUGCCUUAUGUUCAUGUUUCCAUGCAGAGCAAGAGCAGUGCUCAGGAGCUGGGAAGCCCUGAUGAGAUAUUGACAUUCCCUGUGCCCUGGGAGUCUCUCUGGUGCCGUGGGUAUGAUAAUACAUAGAGACCCACAGGGCUCCAUGCAGGGUAGCAGCAGUAGGAAGGAUCGUCCACAGAAAUCACCCUUGUGACCACCAUAAAUGUUGAAUAAUGGUUUAAACCAACAAAAAAAUACAUAUAUUUUAGUAGAUGGCAAGUUCUGUUAGUAAUAAAUAUUUCAGUGUUCAACCCUCUACACAGACCAUUUUUAAAGCCCCACGGGUUUAAU
ensembl:lncRNA